UGGAGUCGAAGAUUUGCAUGAAUGGACUGUGUGGGACAACUUCUUCAAUUGAGUGGAAAAAAGGGUGGCCUUUGCGAUCUGGUGAAUUUGCGACCCUCUGUGAUAAGUGCGGGAAUGCUUAUGAACAACUACUCUUCUGUGAUUUAUUCCACUCGGAGGACACUGGUUGGAGGGAGUGCAUUUCAUGUGGCAAGCGUCUUCAUUGCGGAUGUAUUGCUUCUAGCUCUUUG
rnacentral:misc_RNA from 1 species